rnacentral:lncRNA from 1 species
GGAGGAAUAGGAGCUGGAGGGGAGGAGGAGAGAAGAAAAGAGGAGAAGGAGGGGGAAGAGAGGGAGCGGGUUCAAGGAGGGAAGGAGGAGGAGAAGGAGAGGAGGAGGAGAUGAGACCAAGGAGAAGAGGUGAAGGAGGAGAGGAGGACACAGAAAAGAGAAGAAAGAGGAGAGGAGACGGAGAAGAGGAGGAGGAGUAACAAAGGAGGAAGAAGAGGAAGAGGACUAGAAGAGCAAGUUCCAGUUCUCGGUGCGCCCCGUUCUGCAAGACACUCUCCUGUGGUCAGCCCUGGUCUGCAGAGGAUUCCCGCGCUGGAUCUCUGAAGGAUGCUGGCGCCCUCUCUGCAGCACAUUCCUGAUGCCCUUGCUGACACGUGUCCUCUGGGCCCUCUCCUGAAACCUGAUUCUCCGGGGUGUCUUCUGGCCUCACCUCUUCUGUCCAGUUCCAGCAAGCUCACUUUGCUUAGCCUUUGAAUCCCUUCCUUCACUGUCUGCCAUGACAGUUCAGGCCUUUCACCGUCACUCAGGCCUGGACCAUCACUGUUGCCCAUCCCAUGCCAUCAACAGGUUUGCCCCAUCCCUUCGGCUCCCUACCAGGGCAUUCAGUUGUGUUGAGCAGCAGAGUGUCUCCAAGUCCCCACUGGUUGAGCUGCAUCCGGGUCCCAUCCCACAGGGACCCCCUGGCCGCUGCAGAUGCAUGCUGAUCCUGCAGCUCCUCGAGGGUGUCAUCGCUUUCCCCCUUCCCAGACCCAGCACACCCUGCCUGCAUGGCGCUGCGCUGCACCUUCACUCUGGUCACGGGUCUGGCAGUCAGCUCACCAAUUCCUCCUGCUUCCCUGGGACUUGCCGGCUUUUAGCACUGCAAUUCACUCAGCAAACUGGGACUGUUGGUCACCCUACCUGGCAGCCAGUGAUAAGGUGAGGGCCACUCCUGGGAGGGAGGACACCUGUGGGGAAAAUUCUUGUGUUAUUUAUUUCUCCUUCGGGAUAGGGUGCCUGCAGCGCUUCAUGGGAGGGGGUGGGCUGAUGCUGCGGGCUCAGAAGUUUCAAGGGCAUCUGGGGAGACCAGAUAUUCAGAGACCUUCUAGAUGUGCCUGUUCCAUGUAUCAGGGACGCAGGUUUUCCCAACAGGGCUGGUGUCAUUGGCAUGACAGACCUGCCUUGGCUGAGCGUUCACCUGUCUUUGGAGUUCAGCCACCUUAGCAAGUCCUGGGUUUGUUCUUCAGACUUUGCUGCUCGCCCAUUGCCUGGAUCGGGGGCUACUUUGUAAACCACCAGGAAGACUCCAGUGUUUCUGGUUAAUUUUUAGAUGUUUGUUAAUUGCUCUUGGUCUCUCAUUAAUCCCCUGUGGGUCAUCCAGGAAACAUACUCACCACUGUCUGUUCUCUGAGUUUUCAUUUCCAGGCAUCCGCCCUGCCUGGAUCUCCUCACCUGCCAGGAACUUCCUCUCCACAAGCCGGCCAUCCCAGCAAAAGUUCUAACACCAAAGGUCUGGCAACUAGCCUGCCAUCUUGUGCCUGGAGCCGCCUGCGUGCCACCUACUCCCGAAGAUGGGAACCUUGUUGCCAGUUGGGCAGAUGCGGGGCAAUCCUGUACCAAGACCCCAUUUUACCACCUGCUUUCUCAGACCACUCUGGAACCCACUGUCUCAGAUUGUGUCCUCCAGGAAGCAGACCAUGAGAGGGAGUUGGCAGGGCCAAAGAUUUACUGGGGCUAACUAACACUCAGGAAAGGGAUAGGAAGGAAACAGGGCUGGAGAGCAGGUUGAGCCCGACCUGACAGUCUCGAGCAGCCCAACAGGGAGGUGUGGAGCAAGGGUUGCCCACUAGAGGGGCCUGCAUUGGGUACGGGUGAUGGGGUCCACAUGGUACCUGGCAUAUAGCAGGCUGUGCAAUCCAUAUUAACUGACUGGAUAAAUUAAUGCCCAGAAAAGGUGCCCUGGAGAAUGGGUGUGUGCUGAACACAAUAGGGAAGGGCCCAGCAUCUGCCUUGGCAUAGGCAGAACUGUGCUGUGCCCUGCAACAGGCCACCUGAGAGCUGCUUUGAUCUUGUGUGUACAUUAGAUGACUGCCAGGGGCAUGAAGGGGAUGUGCUUCCAGGGCAUUUGCUGGCAGGGCGUCUCGUGAUCUCUUGGUAUUGGUGUGAGCACAGCCUGGCAGGAGAGGGCAGAUCUCCAUGCAAAGUAUGUCAGAAAGCAGAUGGAAGCCAGGCCCCCUCCUGAAAGAGGCUCCUUGAAGGUAGGUGCACACUCAUGUCUUUGUUACUUGUAAGGGGGCAUCUUACAGGCAAGAGGAGUUAGGUGAAUGUGAAGAGGAAGGAACUACUCUGGGCAGGGGGCUGGGGGACGCUUCGUAGAGGAGGGGGUGUUUGAGCUGGGCCUUGAAGGUCAAAAGGGUUUUGUUAGGUGGGAAAUGGGGGAAGGACAGUCUGAAAGGGUUAGGUACAUUCAAGGAGCCCAGAGAAGGUUCGUGGCUGGAGCAGACGCAUUCGUAGAGUGAAGUCAUGGGAGAGAAGAGGCUGGGAAACUAGAUUGGUUCCAACUCCUAAAGGACCACUGAAGGAGUGUGGGCUGCACGCUGGGUGCAGCAGGUGAGUUUCCUCACUUGGGUUUCACUGUCAGCAUUUUAAAAAGGCAAACUGGUUUUCUUCCUGAGAAGAAUUCAUUGAUUCACUUGUGGCCAGUAAGUCAUCUGGGCCAGAGGUUGGUGGGGAGAUGAUAGGGGUGCAAGUGUCAUCUUCAAUCACAGCAUAACUGCCCUUGCUUUCUUACCUCUCGUUUAGAUAUUUCAAUGCUUGCUCAGGUCCCCUGCGCCCUCCUUCCUUCUCCCUUCCCAGCCAUACUACUUAUGGGAUGACUUUCUCUUUGUAAAAUGACCGUUAGUCUUAUCAAAUUAAUCCCAAAGUAAUACCA